rnacentral:rRNA from 1 species
UUCCGAUCUCUUGUCUCAAAGAUUAAGCCAUGCAUGUGUAAGUUCACACUGAUUAACAGUAAAACUGCGGACGGCUCAUUACAACAGUACUAACCUAUUUGGAUGUUCAACGCUAAAAGGAUAACUGCCGCAAUUCGGGAGCUAAUACUUGCUAAAAGCGUCGCAAGACGUGUUUUUCCUUUCCUUAAAUCGAUCACCUAUGGUGUCUUCUGAGGAGUCGAGGGAACUUAACGGACCGCAUUCUUCGGAGGCGGUCGUCCAUUCGGAGUACUGACUUAUCAAAUGUCGAUGGUUCGGUAUUGGCGAACCAUGUUGGUAACGAGUAACGGGGAAUCAGGGUUCGAUUCCGGAGAGGCAGCCUGAGAAACGGCUGGCACAUCUAAGGAAGGCAGCAGGCGCGUAAAUUACCCAUUGCAGACUCUGCGAGGUAGUGACAAGAAAUAACGAGGCGUUGAUCCUAGUGAUCGUCGCUGUCGGAAUGAGAGCAGUUUAAAAUGCUCAUCGAGUAUCAAUUGAAGGGAAAGUCUGGUGCCAGCAGCCGCGGUAAUUCCAGCUUCAAUAGCGUAUACUUAAGUUGUUGUGGUUGAAGAGCUCGUAGUCGUAACUCUGGAUUAUCAACUUGUAGUGGGCGUCGCUUCGGUGGUGCUCACUUUAGGAGUUUGGUAUCCUCAUUUUGACGUUUGGGUGCGGGUGUCAUUAACUUGACGUCCGUAAACUGCGUCGAUUUUACCUUGAAUAAAUCGGAGUGCUCAAAGCAGGCUCUAAUGCUUGAACGAUUGUGCAUGGGAUAAUGGAACAGGGCGUCUCCGCCCUUACAUUGGUUUAAGUGGAGACGUAAUGAUAGAUAGGAACGGACGGCGUGAUUCGUACGAGAGGGUGAAAGGUGAAAUUUUUAGAUCCUUCUCAGACGAGCGGAUGCGAAGGCGUUUCACGAGAACGUUUUCAUUGAUCAAGAGCGAAAGAAGCAGGUUCGAAAACGAUUAGAUACCGUUGUAGUUGCUUCCGUAAACGAUUUAGACUUGCGAUAGGCAAGGGUUGUUAAUAACCUUGUCUGCAGCUUCCGGGAAACCAAAGUGUUUGUAGCCCAGGGGGAGUAUGGUUGCAAAGCUGAAACUUAAAGAAAUUGACGGAAGGGCACCACCAGGCGUGGAGCCUGCGGCUUAAUUUGACCCAACACGGGACAACUUGCCCGGCCCGGACACAGGAAUGAUUGACAGAUUGAGAGCUCUUUCUUGAUUCUGUGGGUGGUGGUGCAUGGCCGUUCUUAGUCGGUGGAGUGAUUUGUCUGGUUAAUUCCGAUAACGGACGAGACUCUGACAUGCUAACUAGUUUCGCUUGCUACCUUUUAGGUCAGGUGGGAACUUCUUAGAUGGAUUGGCGCCUUUUUGAAUGCGCAUGAAAUAGAGCUAUAACAGGUCUGUGAUGCCCUUAGAUGUUCGAGAUCGGAAGAGCACACGUCUGAACUCCAGUC